rnacentral:rRNA from 1 species
ACUCCUACGGGAGGCAGCAGUGGGGAAUAUUGCACAAUGGGCGCAAGCCUGAUGCAGCAACGCCGCGUGAGGGACGACGGCCUUCGGGUUGUAAACCUCUUUUAGUAGGGAAGAAGCGAAAGUGACGGUACCUGCAGAAAAAGCACCGGCUAACUACGUGCCAGCAGCCGCGGUAAUACGUAGGGUGCAAGCGUUGUCCGGAAUUAUUGGGCGUAAAGAGCUCGUAGGCGGUUUGUCGCGUCUGCUGUGAAAACCCGAGGCUCAACCUCGGGCCUGCAGUGGGUGCGGGCAGACUAGAGUGCGGUAGGGGAGAUUGGAAUUCCUGGUGUAGCGGUGGAAUGCGCAGAUAUCAGGAGGAACACCGAUGGCGAAGGCAGAUCUCUGGGCCGUAACUGACGCUGAGGAGCGAAAGCGUGGGGAGCGAACAGGAUUAGAUACCCUGGUAGUCCACGCCGUAAACGUUGGGAACUAGAUGUGGGGACCAUUCCACGGUCUCCGUGUCGCAGCUAACGCAUUAAGUUCCCCGCCUGGGGAGUACGGCCGCAAGGCUAAAACUCAAAGGAAUUGACGGGGGCCCGCACAAGCGGCGGAGCAUGCGGAUUAAUUCGAUGCAACGCGAAGAACCUUACCAAGACUUGACAUAUACGAGAACGGGCUAGAAAUAGUCAACUCUUUGGACAGUAAACAGGUGGUGCAUGGUUGUCGUCAGCUCGUGUCGUGAGAUGUUGGGUUAAGUCCCGCAACGAGCGCAACCCUCGUUCUAUGUUGCCAGCACGUAAUGGUGGGAACUCAUAGGAGACUGCCGGGGUCAACUCGGA